AGAGUCGGCCAGGCGGUCGCGGCACCGCGUGCGGUGUCGAGGAAAGUCCGGACUCCACAGGGCAGGGUGGUCGGUAACACCGACCCGGGGCGACCCGCGGGACAGUGCCACAGAAAGCAGACCGCCACCGGCCCGACCGGUGGUAAGGGUGAAACGGUGGUGUAAGAGACCACCAGCGGCCGGAGCGAUCCGGUCGGCUAGGUAAACCCCACCCGGAGCAAGGUCAAAAAGGGGGAGCGAUCAGUUCCCCCGCGCGAACGCUUGAGGGCGGCCCGCCCGAGGUUCGCGGGUAGACCGCACCGAGGCUGACGGCAACGCCAGUCCCAGAUGGAUGACCGCCCGGUCCCCAGCGGACCGACAGAAUCCGGCUUACCGGCCGACUCUUCCC
rnacentral:RNase_P_RNA from 1 species